UACGGGGGGGGCAAGCGUUGUUCGGAAUUACUGGGCGUAAAGGGCUCGUAGGCGGCCAACUAAGUCGGACGUGAAAGCCCUCGGCUUAACCGAGGAACGGCGUCCGAUACUGGAUGGCUUGAGGUUGGGAGAGGGAUGCGGAAUUCCAGGUGUAGCGGUGAAAUGCGUAGAUAUCUGGAGGAACACCGGUGGCGAAGGCGGCAUCCUGGACCAAUUCUGACGCUGAGUGAGCGAAAGCUAGGGGAGCAAACGGG
rnacentral:rRNA from 1 species